UCAUGAUUUACCAUCAAAUUGCACUUGUUGUACACGUAAGCAACCAUGGUUCGCAUAUAGGGCUCUAAUAUAAAAUAAGAAAAUAGGUUUGUAAAAAAUUAAGAUUCAUGGAAUCAGGGUUAAUGUAAAAGAGGUUGGAUCAUUUCAAUUUUCCGGUAACAUAACAUAAUCUGACUCAGUUCCAGAAAAGCAAAGUUCACAACUCUAGAAAAAAGUUUAGUUUGUGUUAAACCUGUCCAUGAGAAGUCCUUAUUUUCAUUUUUGAUGGGGGUUUUGGAAAAGCAAUUUUGGACGAAGCUAGAAAAAAGCAAAGUGGAGAAAUGAACAGAGUUGAUGGUGAUAUUGAAAUUGCCUGCAUCCAAUUACUGCUGGGUAAUCAAACGCAGCUAUAUUACAUGUGUGUCAGUUCAGUAAUUAAUGUGAUUAUGUGGUAUUAGGCGAUGAACUCACUCAUCAUAUUUGACCACAUGAAUAACAGUGCUGAUUGGUUAGUCUUUCUAAAUCUUUCUCGUAGGUAAUAUGUGAAAACUGAUGGGAACUUGGUGGAAAGGACAAGGAAGUUCACCUUUAUUAAUAUAUGAAUGGGUCAAUAGUUAAGGUUUCACUUGUAGUGUUAUAGUUCUGCUGUAACUAUGAUCAGUGAGGAGUGUUGACAGGUAAGGUAAGGAAGCUGGGCCCAGUUGUGCGAAAGUUUAUAAGCUAAUACUGGUGUUAAGUCAUGUUUUGUGUUUACAAUUUUAGCCAAACUCUGCUGCCACUUCAGUGCUCUAAAGUCAAGGUAUAACAGCAGCAUUUUUAGUUCAUAUUUAAUGUACUGGUACACAAUUAAGUUCAAAAUUGAAGACUUGGCGUAAAGUUAAAUAUUAAAUCUUAAACCAGUUUUGAACAGCCACGCCCAGUUUAUGAGAACUUUGAUACAUGUGUAUGUACACAGAUCUUUAUUUGUUUUUUGUAUUGUUUUUAUCUUUAAUUUCUGCUGUUACAAUCAAUCUACUUAUUGAUUUAAAACAAUAUUCAAUCUUUACUUCAUUCACAUGGGUAAAAUGCUGAGGUUUAAUGCUACAUAUACUCUCCAUGCAAUGGCCAAACAUUGUGCGAAAAUACUGAGCGAUAUUGAUCGAGUUGGUGAGUCUUCAGGGCCUUGCAAACUGUAAAAAGCCUGGAAUUUGAAAGUAUAGCUUUUCUAAAUCCUUGAAAAGCCUGAAAAAUAAGGGUUCAUGAGUUUGUUGCUCUUGAUUCUGUUGACAAAAGCAAAAUGAUGAUGGACCAAGUCAUAAUGAGUAUUAAUAUAGUUUCAAAUUCCAAUUACAUGUACCCUAAACAUUUCCCCCAUGACUAAGUUGCUCAUUUUUUCUAGAUUCUGUGAGUUAUAUCAUUUUUAGAAAGGUGCUUUAAGAUGUGCUUGGAAGGUACGAUGAUGUCCUAAUGUGUGGUUGAAUUUUUGGCUCAUUUAGGGUAUCUCAUGUGGUUUUGUUCAAGAUUCACAUGACUAAAGGGAUGAAUACAGGGCUGUUCGGAAAAAUAUGUGUUUCCAGUGACCCGACCGACUGUAAAUGUUUGGGCAAAUUGCGAGUCAGCGAUUUUGUACAGGGCAGUUGUAGGCUAAAUAUCUUGUGGUUGUCUCCCUUUGCAGCCAUGCCUGCGUGCUUUAAAUGAAAAUGUUCUGUCUUUAAGAGCUUGCCAUGACACUGUCUGUAACGACAGCGACAGGAAAUUUAAAAAAAAAAAAAAAAGAAAGUUUUUCCGUAAAGCUCAAUGCCUGGCAAGGUGUUUGAUGACAGCAAAGGAGCUCUUCGCGAAUGUUAGACACAUAGUGAAUGUUAAACACAUAGUGAGUGUUAAACACAUAGCGAAUGUUAAACACAUAGCGCAGCUCAUAGGCAGGAAAAAUAAUUGGCUUCGCUGCUGGAGUUGGACGCGUAACUUCGUCAGUUAACAUAUCACUCGGCAGCUAAACCACACGCUCCAGCCCCAUCCAAAACUGCACUCGAUAUGCUGAGGUAGCACGGUCACAAUACCUCCCACAGAAGAGAGAUGGAAACGCUAAAGUCCAGCUGAACAAAAUCUACACUGAACAGGUUUCUUUUCCCGAGAGUGAUACACUACAAACCCUUUACUGAUGUCUUUGGGGCUGCCGCUGAUGAGGUGCAUUGUCCAAGGUGAGGUACAUCACUCAUAGAUGACACCAGAAGAAUUGCUGAAGAAGAACAGGGAUGUGCAAGCUCUCUGUUUAUUGCUCAAAGGGUGAGGGAGACUAGCCAGCUCAAAUUGUGAGAAGCCUCGCUGUGUCUACAGUAUAAGGAAACUCAUUGAUGGGGGAGGUGUAGGAGUUAAACCAUCUGAAGAGAAGAUACGACUGCAUUUGCACCGCUAACAGUACACCUGAAGGUGACAUUCUGCAAGGUGGUGUUUUUACAGACAUCAAAUUGACCUGUGAGAAGACCCUUGAGUACAGCUUCCAUUCCUCACCCGUUUCCAGAAAAAUCUCAGCUUACUGUGGGUCACCUGAAGCUGGGCAAGGUGCAGAGAUAUCUAAG